rnacentral:rRNA from 1 species
CCACUUCGGUGGGGAUUAGUGGCGAACGGGUGAGUAACACGUGGGCAAUCUGCCCUUCACUCUGGGACAAGCCCUGGAAACGGGGUCUAAUACCGGAUACCACUCUCACAGGCAUCUGUGGGGGUUGAAAGCUCCGGCGGUGAAGGAUGAGCCCGCGGCCUAUCAGCUUGUUGGUGAGGUAACGGCUCACCAAGGCGACGACGGGUAGCCGGCCUGAGAGGGCGACCGGCCACACUGGGACUGAGACACGGCCCAGACUCCUACGGGAGGCAGCAGUGGGGAAUAUUGCACAAUGGGCGAAAGCCUGAUGCAGCGACGCCGCGUGAGGGAUGACGGCCUUCGGGUUGUAAACCUCUUUCAGCAGGGAAGAAGCGAAAGUGACGGUACCUGCAGAAGAAGCGCCGGCUAACUACGUGCCAGCAGCCGCGGUAAUACGUAGGGCGCAAGCGUUGUCCGGAAUUAUUGGGCGUAAAGAGCUCGUAGGCGGCUUGUCACGUCGGGUGUGAAAGCCCGGGGCUUAACCCCGGGUCUGCAUUCGAUACGGGCUAGCUAGAGUGUGGUAGGGGAGAUCGGAAUUCCUGGUGUAGCGGUGAAAUGCGCAGAUAUCAGGAGGAACACCGGUGGCGAAGGCGGAUCUCUGGGCCAUUACUGACGCUGAGGAGCGAAAGCGUGGGGAGCGAACAGGAUUAGAUACCCUGGUAGUCCACGCCGUAAACGGUGGGAACUAGGUGUUGGCGACAUUCCACGUCGUCG